rnacentral:rRNA from 1 species
AACCAGCACCUCAAGUGGUCAGGAUGAUUAUUGGGCCUAAGGCAUCCGUAGCCCGCUUUGUUAGUUUUCGGUUAAAUCUGUGCGCUUAACGUACAGGCUGCCGGAAAUACUGAAAAGCUAGGGAGUGGGAGAGGUAGACGGUACUCGGUAGGAAGGGGUAAAAUCCUUUGAUCUAUUGAUGACCACCUGUGGCGAAGGCGGUCUACCAGAACACGUCCGACGGUGAGGGAUGAAAGCGUGGGGGAGCAAACCGGAUUAGAUACCCGGGUAGUCCCAGCUGUAAACUAUGCAAACUCAGUGAUGCAUUGGCUUGUGGCCAAUGCAGUGCUGCAGGGAAGCCGUUAAGUUUGCCGCCUGGGAAGUACGUACGCAAGUAUAGAAACGUUAAAGGAAGUUGGGCGGGGGAGCGACCGACGAAGGGGUGAAGCCUGCGGUUC